UCGGCCAUGACCAUGGGCUUUAAACCACUCGACCACCUCCUGCAGGUCAAACGGCUGAGGUGCAUAGCCUAGCUCACUCUUGGCUUUCUCUAGGCUGAAGUAAUGUGUGACACCAGUUUUAUAAACCUCGGUGCAGUUGCUCCCUCCCAGACAUGCCGUAAGAGGCGAUGUGGAAGACGCAUGCGAUGUCAGCAUCCUGGAAGGCCGCCUCCACGUCAGAGAGGCAGCGGAUAUCCCCGCGGACGAAUGUGAUUCCCUCUGGAAGGUUCUGGGCCGGUUCGAUGAUGUCGAACAGAAUCACACGGACUCCUUUCUGGUUCAGAGCGCAGCCGAGGCUGAGUUUUCAAGCCUGAGCAGUGAGCACCGGAGUUCACUUUUGUUUUGAAACUAUAUAAACUUGUACGUGUAUCUAAGCACCGGAAUAGAAAACUAUCCAGUAGAAGAAUUCCGUGAGGGUAUUUUGUAGAUGAACUGACCGGAAGCCAAAAUAUCCUCCUCCUCCGGUAAUGAGGACGGUUUCCUCCGGGAACCUUGGGGAGUCCAUACGAGACAGUGAAAGGACAACUGGACCUGCAGGAGGAUAACACAGCAUUAUGACAUGCUGUAUAAACAUGUUUCAGCUUCGUGAACAAGAAGAAAAAGGUGGCCGGCCUGCUGCUCGGUGGUAGCACAUGUACCCAGCAGAUAUGAAACUCUGGUUUUGGGACCAGCACGGAGAAACCCAAACCAAACAACAGAAUACCUUAGUGCAGGCGAUUCUCUGAGACGAGUGGCUCCGCUCACAGGUCUGCACUUUAGCCACACCCCCUUACUCCGUGGCUUCGGAUUUCAUCCUGUGUAAUGUUAACAUAGACGUGCCUUCCUUGCCUACGCUACAAAGUUAAUGUGAAGGUUGAGUAAAUACAGAUAUGAGGCGUUCCUGUGGAUUUUUGGAACUGAUCGGGGCUUUUGGGAAGAAUCACUUUGAAGCUGUUUGAGAGGAGGGUUUUCUCCCGCGCAUCAGAAACCCCAAGGUAGAACUCUGCAGAAGCUUCCGCAUCUACAGUGCGCUUUGUGCGUGGUUGUUUUGUUAACCCCAUGCUUAAAAAUAGGAAAAUACCUUUCUGUAGCAAAUCAUGCCCUCUAUCCUAGAUACCUUGUGAGUGCUUCAAGGGAGUGUACUUGGGGCAUUUGACAGGGUGGGUGCCUUGCUUCUGUCUCCCUCCUCAUUUGCUUACUCUGCAGCAGAUUCGUCUCAAGGCCUCAGUACUAUUUUCUCUCAAGAACGGAACAAACAGAAAUGGGGUAGAGAACUCAUUCCGCACAGCAGAGAAAUGGACCCAGAGGUACACAGUAAUCAAGACCGCAGCCACUGCCCCUUCCCAACCACCCGCCAUGACUCUGUUUUGAACAAGGAAGAAUGUGAUCCAGGUGCUCAUGGAGCGGCAUGGCCUGGGGCAGCCCGGGAGGAAGGGCGCAUGUGCGAAGAGCCACGUGACGUGAGCGCACGAACCAAGAUGAGAACAGUAGUAACUCAAGGGUGUAUGGGGCAGCUAGGGACAUGGGGCAGGCGCAUUAGCCUCGAGAUGGUUUUGUGAGCUUGUCUGGGACACUUUGCUUUCUCGAAACCUUACUUUCCUGUAAGCUGUGUGCUGUUCUAUUUCAGGACGUCUCUGUGCUUCUAGAAAAGCUGCAGUGUACAGCGGAAAGAGAGAGGACAGAUGUGCUGUGGUGCACACCACGAGUGUCACACAGCUUACAGGGCACUUUAUGUGCACGUGAACUACAAAAACAGCACUGUCAUCACCCUGUUUUUCCAGCCAAGAGUAAAUAACUCUCCCAACGGAUAGGCGAUAACCAUGAGCCCAUACUCUUUUUUUUUUUUUUUGGUUCUUUUUUUUCGGAGCUGGGGACCGAACCCAGGGCCUUGCGCUUCCUAGGUAAGCGCUCUACCACUGAGCUAAAUCCCCAGCCCCGAGCCCAUACUCUUAACUCCUGAAACAGGGUCUUUGAGGAAAGAGAACAGGCACCUGGGUUCUUUUUAGUUGUGUAACUUUGGGUCAAUAAAUUGCUCUGAGCCUGUGGGGCCAUCAGAAAGUUGAGCCAUGGACAAGCUCGAAAGUUUAUAAAGAUAUGGUGGGAUAGUGUAGACAAAACCUCCCAGACACACAACAUGGUAUGGUUGCCCCACAGGUGCUGUUUUUCAGGUCCUUUCUUUCAAACUCUGAUGUGUAUCAAUGCAGUAUUUCCUGUACAGCCACGAUUAGAGCUCUGGAGACGCAGGGUAACAGAGAUCAACAUGUUCUAGAAAUCUGUGCAGCGUGUCUCUAGCCGGUGAGGCUAAGUGAAUCACUCACAGAGAGUCCCAACUGUAGAUAAGGCUCACCCAUAGUCUCAGAGGUGUAAGGCGACAAGGAACAGCAACAAGAACCAUUCAGAAAACUGGGCAAAAUGGUGUGGAGGUUGGCAGCUGGGUCCCAUGAAGCAAGUGUCAUCAUUAUGCUACAAGAAAAUCUGUGAAGACCAAGACAUGAGCACUUCUUUACUAUAUCAAAUGCUGACCUUAGAACAGUAUAUGUGUCUGUGCAUAUACAUAUAUGUAUGUAUGGGUUUUUAUGUGUAUGAGAGUUUUUCCUUUCGUAUUCAUGUAUACAUGGGCAUGAAGUACCUGAGGGUCAAAUGCCCUUGGAUAGGAGUUACAGUUGUGAGCUGCCAUGUAGGGGCUGGGAAUCGAACCCUGGUCCUCUGGAAGAGCAGCCAGUGCUCUUAACCUCUGAGCCAUCUUAUCUUUUGCACUGCUUGAGUUUGAACGCAACCCUCGCACAUGCGAGGCCUGUGCUGUGCCACCAAGUCACAUCCCAGUCCUGUUUUCUGAAAACAGAAUGCUAGCACUUGGAACUGGAGUGGCCAUGAAAGCAAAUGUCGCUCGUGCUGGGGACUACAGACUGAUAUUUCCAGACUCCUGACUUCAUCCCAUGACUUGUCUCAACCAUGACCUUCUCAAUCCCAUGACCCUCUGCUACCUAUGCUUCCUGGUUGAGUCAUGUGGAUUCUCUCUUCUCCGCCACAUGACAGGCUCUCGGGUGUACCCUGUUCUUAGCACAGUGUGACCCAUGGCUCCUCCUGGUCCGGGCCAGGUGUAGCUUCCUCAGGAGUAAGGUUUUCCUCAGAAAGGCCUCACGACACCUCAGUUCUCCUUACCCUACAGUUGCCCUGCCUUUUUCAAGGCAGUCUCCAUGUCUGUGUGCCUUCAAAUUGCUGUGCCCCUUUCCCAGAAUGGAAAUUCCAUGGAAAAGGGGUCUUUCCCUUUCCCACAGGGGUAUUCCUUCACCGAACUCAGAAACUGACCGAUUCCCAAGAAAUAUUUGCCCUGAUAAUUCUUAUCCACCCAAAACAUAGCCAGUUUAGUAAAAUGGUGACAGACGCAGGCAAGCAGGGCCCUGAGGUAUCAAAUGGCAUUAUCAUCCAUGCUGUUCAAUGCUCCCAUUUUUAACCUAACUUCCUGGAGAGUGUCAAGUUACAGAAUGGGACAGAUGCCAGGCUCUGUGACACAGGGCGCUGGCGCUGGGGCACUCACUAUGGGGAGAGACUUCUGCUGGUCAUCUAAAGGACAAGACAGGGACCUGAGGAUUCUCAGGAGGAGAGCUCGAUUUUGACUCGUAGCUGCAGGAGUGUAAAUCUGAGGCCGGUUGGCUCUGUUGUUCUGGAGCCCAUGAUGGACCAAAGCAUCUGCUGGGGAGCGCAGAGGCUCCCCGCAUGGCGGAUGAAGGCAAAGCAAGAGAGGAGGGCUUCGAAGUUCCUCAAAGGAUGUACCCCCUGUAGGAUGAUGUCAUUACGCAGGCGAAGGCGGGUACAAGAUAGAACGAGGCCUGUCAUUGGACGAGAAGGAAGGAUGGGCGGGAGAAAAGUUUGAGAGGAAGAGGCUGGAGCGAGUGGGGAGAAGCAGCAGAGAGAACAUGGAGGCUGACGUUAAGAGUCCUCUCUGCACACUUACAGGUCGUUAUGAAUGUUCUUAAGGGAUGGGUGUGUGCAGGGCUUUGUGUGUCUAGAUGAGCAAAUUAUGUAUUAUCAAUUGGCUCAGAGGUUAUUGUGUUGUGUGUUCUCUCAUGUGGCGAUUUAAGUUCAAGAGAGCGUGUGGUGGCUGGAGACAUGUGUACGUCUGGCGUGGUGGCAACCUGCCUUGGGAACUAGAUGGGUAGAGAGAUUGUUGCCAGGCUCAGAGAGAAGCCAUCGGCAGUGUGAUAUGGGAUGGGGCAGAGCGGGUGAGACGCUUUGCUGACUGAGAUGAAGACAUCCAACAGAUGUCUUGGGGCACUGCGGUGCCGGACCUAGUGUGGGAUAAAAGACAGCUUUUUUUUUUUUUUUUUUUUUUUUGUAUUAUUUUACAGCAACAGCCCUCAAUGACCUAACUUCCUUCCUCUGGGUACCACCUCCCAAAGGUUUGCCCACUUUCCUUCUUACCAUGGUGCCAGAGGUGGGCUGGAGCCUAAAGUACAUUGGACAAUGAAAACGUAUAAGAUCAACUGUGAAACAAAAUUACUUUUCCUGGGAGAUACAAGCAGAGUGCUGCAGGAACACAGAAGGUGGGGGCUGAUUCUGACCCCAGGCAGGGAACUCUGCAUGGAAGGGGAAGCUCAGAGCUGAGUUUGGACCACAGGAAGAUUCAGGAAGACUCACAUGAAGUGGAGGGUUUGUACAGGCUUGGGUCACAUCACAAAUAGAUUGAAGGGUCACUGGGGAGGCUAUACUAGACCAGUGAUGUGGGGACUCCAUGUAGCUGGGAUGUGACCAAAGGCUAUCAUGUCCAAAUAUACUUGGGGAAGGAGGCACGUUGAAAUUGGCAUAGAAACUGUCUGGAGUUCCCUUCUGAGAAUCUGAACUCCAUCCUGUAGAUAAUCGGAAACUUGGUUUUUGGCAGAGUAUCCAUGCUUUCUGAUAAAGAGUGGGCUUCUACUGAGGAAAGGAAGAGGCUUGGAACAGAGUCCAGGCAAGAGGUGACAAGGGGCUACAUUGGGGGGGUGUUGGUAAGAGCUAAGGACCAGCACACUCAGCUGGGACUAAGGAGAUGAGAUGGAAAGACAUUGAGGUCAUGGCAGGUAGCACAAAGGAGAAACUGGAGGAAGGUGAUGGUUCUGACAGAGGGAUGCUGGAAAUUACACAACUUGUAGGAAGAACUACGACCAUGGGGCCUGGGGGAAUGCUCAGUUGGUAAAGUGCUAGUCUAGCAAGCACAGGAACUCGAGUAUAUCUAGACCUCAUGUAAAAAAAAAAUAGUUGGGCGUCGUGGCGUGUACCUGUGAUGCCAGGGCUGGGGAGGUGGAGAGAACAUCUACGGGGCUCUCUUGUCAGUCAGCCUUGGUUAAUUGUUGCUCUCCAGAUCCUGGUAAUAGAUCCUGCCUUAAAAUAAACUAAUGUGAAUGGUACCUGAAGAAUGACACCCAAGGACAGGCAGACAGGCAGGCAGGCAGGCAGGCAGGCACACAUGCACGCACACAGGCAUUGUGGCAAACGCGAUGCCAGAUAACACAGUUCAAACUAUUUUCUAUAUCCCCGUAGAACACCACUGAGAGGGGCCCAAGCAUAGGUAAGGCUAAUUAAAAACUUAUGACAGAGAAACAUUCGGGAUUGUUCUUUGCUUUCGUAACCACACAUUCCAGUUCAGUCGGAAGGCUGGUUGGUCAGGAAGGUCCAGUCACGAGCAGACUCAGAAACUUGCCAGGCCUAUUAGAUGUUACCCCUUGUUACCUUCCAGCUAGUUCCAGAGUUCUGAGGCAAGAACUCGCUGAAUUGAUCUAUGGGAGGGCCAAGAUACAAAGGUUAAAAACAUUUGUAAUUUAGCAAGACAAACACCACUGGAAACAAAGCUUGCCCUCCAGGUCUAGAAAGUCUUCUGAGGUCAGGAGCCACAAAGUGGGGGGCCUAGAAGCCACCUCACCCAUAACAACAAUAAGAACAUUAAAAAACAGAGAGGGGGAGGGACUAGCAGUAAGAGUUUGCUACGCAAGUAUGAAGAUCUGAGUUCCAAGUUCAGAUCCCCAGCACCCACCCAAAAGCCAGGCAUGGUUGAAUGUGUCUGUAAGCCCAGUAUCAGGAGGCAAGAGACGGACGGAUUCCUGGUGCUCAAGGCCAGCCAGUCUAGCUGAAAAAGGGAACUUCACAUCCAGUAAAAAGGCUGUGUCUCAGAAGAGGGUGGAGAGUAGUGGAUACUGGACCCCUUCUGGUUUUCAUAUGCACGUGCAUGAGCACACACCCAUACCCACACAUGCACACACACCGAAAUCAGAGAGAGAGAGAGAGAGAAAGGAGGAGGAGGAGGAGGAGGAGGAGGAGGAGGAGGAGGAGGAGGAGGAGGAGAAAGAAGAAGAGGAGGAGGAAGGGAAGGAGGGAAGGAGGGAGGGAGGGAAGGAGGGAAGGAGGGAAGGAGGGAGGGAGGGAAGGAGGGAAGGAGGGAGGGAGGGAAGGAGGGAAGGAGGGAGGGAGGGAAGGAGGGAGGGAGGGAAGGGAAGGAGAGAGAGAGAGAGAGAGAGAGAGAGAGAGAGAGAGAGAGAGAGAGAGAGAUCUUAGCAAAAACAGUCUACAGAAAACCCAGGAAAUCCCCUUGAGAGAUAAGUCAGGUGGAGAAAGAGUGUAUAGCUUCUCUCCAUCCUCCCUAUUCUUAGGACUUCUGUUUAAUCGUUAACUUCCAUCUGACUCCUUCCUCCUGGGGUCACGCUGUAUCAUUGCAACUGCUUGGAGGCUCUUCCAAAAUGUAGCUUUGCUCAGUAAUUGCAUUUCUGUUGGGAUGGGCAGAGGCAGCAUCCGACCCGAGCUGUCAUUUUCUCAGAAACAGGUUAAUGCUAAGCACAUGAUUAAGGAAAAGGAAUCUUAAUUACAAACAGGAGGCAGAAAGAGAGACGUUUCAAAUCUGCCUGACCAAGAGAGAGUUUCAAAUCUCGAUAAUGCUAAGGUAAAGCAAGGCUAACAGUUGCCAUCCCACAGGGAGUUAGAGAUACACAGUGAUGAAAUAUGCCCCGGAGUAUUUUCGAUUUACAAAGACCUAAUUAAAUCUAAGGAUCAGCAAUAAAAACCAGAGAUUAUGCACACUGUUCUUCCAGCCCCAUGGUUCAAAGCCACGAGGCCGCUUGCCCUCUGGCACCUCACCUCAGUCAGACAAGGAGGCACAAUUAGCAUUUGGCCAACAGCAGCUAAAGCAGAAAGAGUUUAAGAUGUCCUAAUGGCUAGAUAUUUUGUUUUUUUGUAGUGCUGGGGAGGGACCCCAGGGACUUGUAUGCUAGGCAAAAAUUCUACCACUGAACUAAGUUGCCUUGCAUGCUAAAAAACAAGACAAAACAAACAAACAAACAAAAAACCUGGCUAGCAACAGGAACUGGGCUGGAGAUGAAGUUCAGUAGGUAGAGGCUGAUCUAACAGGGAGCUCCAGAUUCCCUUCUCCAGUAAUGCAUAAACUGGGCAUAGCAGUGCAAACCUGAAAUUCCUGCUCUCAGGUAGUAGAGGCAGGAGACUCCAGCUAGAGAGUUCAAAGCCAGAAUGUUAAACAACAGCACCCCUCCCAAAACAAAAACAAAAUCUGUGCUUUCAUACAGAUAAAACAUCUAUCUACCUGUCACCCCAGAACCCGGGAGUCAGAGACAGGAGAUUCACUGGUUCAAGUUCAUCCCAGGGUACAGUGAAACUGUCAUCACCUUAUAUGAGUCAGGUCUUCUUGCCCAGUCCCCCCCCCCUCUCUCUCUCACACACACACACACACACACACACUAACACACACAAAGCACUUGUAAUUCUUUGACAGUGCUAACAAUCAGGGAAUGAAAUGGAGUGGUUUUUCUUCUCGUAUUUGUGUUUCAAAUAGUCCUCGCCCUCUCGGCUAUUCGAGUGCCUCCUUUUGUCUUGAAGUUAGCAUGCAAGCCACUCUAUCCUACCUUAGCGGUGUCUCUUGUCACUUCCUAAGCCCUUAAUGUGUCAGGCACUACGCUACAGCUACAGCUACAGCGUGUUUAUAAAUUAUGUCACCGAAUGAUCAUCGCUUCCCUAAAGAGACAGCGUUAUUUCAGAGCUCACCCUUAGCUUACCCUCAGCUACCCUUCUCCUCUUCUUCCUCUUCUUCCUCCCCUCCUUCUCCUCCUCCUUCCCCUUCUCCACUUUUUUAUUUUAUUUUUAUUUUUUUAUUUUUAUUUUAUGCACGUGCAUGCACAUGUCUAGGUGAGUGCAUGCUGGGUAUGUGCAGGUGUCCACCAGAGCCAGAACGGGGGCAUUGGGUCCCCUACAUCUGGAGUUUCAGGGGGUGUGAACCACUGAACAUAGGUUUUGGGAACUGAACCCAGGUCCUUUGGAGGCUGAACCAUCUCUUUCCAGGCCCAGCCAUUUGUUGUAGUUCUAGUUUGUUUUGAGACAGGGUCUCUCACUGCCUGGAUUUAUUGAUUUGGCUCAGCUAGCUAGGCAGUGGGUCCCCAGAGAUCCAUUUGACUCCACCUUCCCAGGGCUAGGAUUUCACAUCUCUGCCCCUGUAGCCAGCAUCCAUUUCAUGCUUGCACGGCAAACACUCUAUAGCAAGUGGCGAGCCAUCUUCCCAUCCCUGCAAACAUUUUUAUAGUCAUCAUUACCCAUUUGUUUUUUUCAAAUUACCAUGGAAACUCUAUGUGAAUGUUGACUCCUUCCCUUGAACUGUCUUCAGGGACAAAGAAUACCUAGUAGACUACAGCCUAGUGAUCUGGGUGGGAUGAGCCCUCCACAGAUUUCCAAACCACCGUCGCCGUCUCUGCUACUCUCCUGUCGCCUUCUGUCUCGAAGUCAGCACGCCUGCCCCUCCAUUCUACCACAGUGGUGUCUCCUGCCAUUUCAUAAGUGCCAGGCGCUGCGUUACAACGUGUUCAUAAAUUAUGACACCUAAAGAGACCGUGGUGAUCCAUGGGUCCUGUUUUGCAAGUGAAUAAACUCAGGCCCAGAGACAGAAUGAUCAACAACUCCAUGUCCCAUAGAUGGUGAGUGGAUACAGGGUUCUAUGUAUCCACUGGGCCAAGGGACACCUGACUCCAUCAUUCAUGUCCUAACCACAGCAAUCCCGGAGGGCAGGGCAGAGUCUGUGACCUGAAGCAAUAGUCAUGGAGUGAACAUAGAUCUGGAUUGUGUACGAUUUCACAACCAGAACAUUCUGCAAUGGCUCAGGAAGGCAAAGGAGGAGCUUCCUUAUCUAUUCCCAUGAGGCAGUGGGGUGUGUGCAGCAUUACAAUUUUUAUAUUGGGAAUCAUGAACUGUGGGUCCCGGACUUAGAUCUACUAACAGCUACUUCUGUGACCCUGGACAACUUUUUAACCUUGCCUCCUCCUCCUUACAAUGCAAAUCACAACGAGUGUGGUGCACUUGUUUAUUACAGGCAAGGAGUUUUAAAGGUAUACCAUGGAUGCUUAAGCACAGUUCUGAGGCAGCAGCAAUUAGAGGCAUCCAAAUUGGUGAUACUUAAACGACCCUAGUCCACAGAUGUCUCCUGUCACCCUCAAGAACCAUCCGUCAUCUUCGGCAGCUAUCAGUCAUCCUCAGCUGUCACUUGGCAACCUUAACUACCAGCUAUCAUCAUCACCCACUCACUACUUGCCAUUCUCCAAUGCCACCUGUUAACCUCAAUGUUCACCUUUCGCUCCUUUCACUCUUAGCCGGCUUUUCACAAGCCGGUCGAAGUGCGCUUAGGACCUCCCUGCCAUCCCAGAAUAGGGACCCCGUGGGUAACGACAGCCCUGGCGACCCCGGUCCACUCACAGAGGCAGAUGACAGCGUGGCUUGUAGAAGCAAGAUGAGAGAGCGGCUGGUGCCUCGCUGCCCCGGCUCUGGAGCAAAAGCUGUCAAACUGGUCCUAAAGCCACUUCCGGGUCUCUCUAGGAAGCCCGGAGGUUCCCUCAUCUCUAUGAUGAGCAAGUGGUUCCUCAGUCUCAAAGGGUGCUGAGGGAGUUCGUGGUUAACCUCCCCCAGUUUUCCAGCAGUGUGUUUCAGAGUCCUCCGAGAGGGUCACUUAGACUUCUUUCUGACUCUGCUUCCAGGCUUCCACCUCUCUGUGUACCCCUAUUAAUGAGCGUAGAACGGAUCGAAGAAGGGGUUUAGCUCAGCCGGCUUCCUUGGAUGGGUGGGCGGGUGAAUGAAUGGAUAGAUAGAUGGGUGAGUAGGUGGAUAGAUAAAAGUGUGGAUGGGUGGGUGGAUGGGUUCGUGGGCGGGUAGGAAGAUUGGUGGGUGGAUGGAUGUGUAGGUAAGUAGGUACGCAUGUGAGUAGAUGGGCUGUUGGUGGUGGGGGGUGUAUGGAUAGAUAGAUGGGGGGGGGGGCUGGGGAUUUAGCUCAGUGGUAGAGCGCUUGAUAGGAAGCGCAAGGCCCUGGGUUCGGUCCCCAGCUCCGAAAAAAAAGAACCAAAAAAAAAAAAAUGGAUAGAUAGAUGGUGGACAGAUGGAUGAGUAAACGGGUGGAUGGAUGGGUAUGUGGGUGCAUGGAUGGGUCCUGGGUGGAGAAUGGAUGGGCGACAGAUGGAGGUCUGUAAGUAACGGAACAUUCACUCUCCGAGUUUCUUUAAAGAUACUCUGUUUUAUGUGUAUGAGUUUUCUGCCUGCAUGGUAUGCAACCACACGCCUGGUGCCUGAGGAAGUCAGAAGAAGGCCUCAGAAACCCUACAACUGGAGUUGCAGGCCAGUGGUGAGCCUCCACGUAAGUGUGGGAAGCUAGACCUAGGUCCUCUGCAAGAGUGGUUAGUGCGUUUAUCUGCUAAGCCAUCUCUCCAGCCCCAGCUUCUCUUUUCAAAGUGUAUUUUCUCUGAGCUUUGGUAUCUCUAUAUGGAUGUGGAUAUGUUUAGUCGUGUCCCUGAUUUUGCUUUUUCAGCUCCGCAUACUAUGGCCGCUGACUAGGUAACAAGCCAGGACCAACCUUUGUUCCUGAGGAACUCAGAAGCCAUGAGGAGAGGAAGUUAGCUUUCUCCAUUUUAGGAACACCUUAGGCCCUCCCAUUAGGGCUGCGGGGUUAUGGAAAGAAAGCUGUACCAUCUGUGUAAAUAACCCAAGGAGACAUGCACUUUAUAUGGGCCCCUGGAUCAGGGGGUUUUGUUCUGCAAACUGGAAAAAUGAAGAUUUUUGACUUCAAGUGCUUUCCCUGUCAAUGGAACCUGGUCCCAUAUUCAGACUCAGACGGACUCACAGGAAUUCUGGCAUUGACUGCUUGGUUUUCUUCGGGAAUAUACAUAAAGGUAUACGCAAGGGUAGAUGCAAGUCCCUGGACAUAAAAAUAGGGGCCAGAAGAAGAAAGUUGAGAUGCUGGUGGGACCCUGACUUUCCUGACUGCCCGGUCUUCAGCUUCUGGCUGUAGGCCUCAGAGAGGGAGAUAGGGUUGUAUUGAGUGGUCUGUAGGGACAGCUUUUCUAUGGCUCCUUGAGAUAUGAAAAAGCACUUAGGAAAGAAAAAGACGGAUGCAUGCUCAGAGGCUGGGAGCCCAGCUACGUACUCUUGAGACCAGCAGCCGUGGAAGAAGGGGCCCCCGAGAAUUCGAUACAGGAGAUUGUUUUCCUGUGAGCAAUCCCAGGAUCCUCUGGGGGAUGCCCACAUUUCCUGUACGGGUAAACAUGAAGAGUGCUAUAUUAAAUGUUAAUAUUCUUUUGUCCCCCGAGGACUCUUAAAGUAUAAACAUUUACAUCUGAAAAGAAAAUUACAGACUUUGUAAUUGCUCCCCGAGUUCUCACUGCUGGUUAGUGGAUUUUUUAUUAUUUAUUUAUUUAUUUUGUAAAAGCCCAGAUAAAGAAAUCUAAGGUAGAGGUGACCAGAGAAAGAGUCAACAAUGGAGAAAAAGAGGAUAGGAGUUAGACUCUAGAUCAAGGGUAAAGAGACUGGAUCUGCCAGGUUGCUGUUGAGGCAAAUCUGGGUUACGGUGCAGUUCAGAAAGAUCGCAUUUCCGGCAGGCUUCCUUAGAGCUUCGUCGCACUUGGCGUGUUGAGAAUCUUGUACACAUCCAUUAGGUGGGCGGAUUCUCGCGAGCCCUCAGGUUAAAGUUCUGGGAUAGCGAGCGAACAGAAGCCGACCCCAGGGAACGCCCUAAAUAUUAAUAGGCCGAUCUUUAGAAGUCCAGAAAGGGUUGAUCAGCCGCAUGUGUUUCCAGAACGUAUUGGGGGAUGUUCCACGAUAUCUCCCAAACCUUAGCGGUUUCAUGCAGGUGUACUUUUCCCUCUCAUCAGCACCAAAUUCAGCCUGCGGGGAAAGGAGAGAGUGGUCUCUCUCUGCGAGUCACAUACUCAAUCAAGGACAGGAGCUUUCUCCACCUGAUGUGCUAUCCUUUUCCACACACAGGGCCUCCAGAGUCACUGAGGCAGGGCAAGUACAAUCCUGGCUCUCCCCAAUAAUCCUAUUUAAAAGUCUGGAAACCGUCCAGCCUCUCCCCUGCUCUUAGGCCAGUUUUAAAUUUUGUGAAGCACAUAACACACAUGUCAUGUUUCUGCCUGUAGCUGUUCAAAGCUCUAAGCAGGUCGGAUGUUCCUGUGACCCAGCUUAGAUCAAACAAACCCUUUACUGGAGUCUGCUGUGGCAAGGCAGUGCUGGAAGAAGGGCCGGGGUGAGCAGCGUGAGUGUGAAUGACCACUGCAAACUGGGGCAGUUUCUAAAGGAAUCAUUGUGCAGACCAGAGAGAUGCAUCCGCAGGGAAAUGAGUCCCUGGGUUCGAUUCCUGUGACAGAGAACAAACUCCCAAAAGUUGUCCUCCGUGCAGAUAUCCAUGCAUGCUUUGUAAUACAUGUGUACCUGCACCCACAUGACGACAGCAACACAACAACAACAUACAAAAGAGAUCCAUGUAGGCUUGGUCAACACCUCAAAAUCUCAGUGAGAUUCUGGUUCAGUGAGAGAUCCUGUCUCAAGUCAGCAAGCCCAUACCCACACACUCACAUGCAUGCACUAUGGACGUGCAUGCAUGAGUGCACGGGCACGCACGUGCAUGUGCACACACACAUGAAUAAAAAAGAUAAACCUCCUUAAAAAUAGAACCCUCCCCAAAGCCCCUUGAAAAUCAAUCAAGUUAAGUGAUUUGUUCAGACAUAGAAAUUAUGAAUGACAGAGUUGGGACCUAAAGUCUCAGGCUUCGUCUCCCUGUGCUUGGAGUCCUGUCCUUUCUGCUCUGUCUCUUGGAUGGACGUAUUCCCUCACCAAUUAGAAAAAAAUUAAAAGGGGGGAAACAAAUAGACAAAAGCCAAGAAACAUUUAAAUGGUGGUUAAUGAUUUCAAGAAUUAAUUUGUUUUAGGAAAGAAAAUAAGCAUGCAUUACUUACAGUGUGUUUGAUAAAACGAUUUCCCCAUUACAUAUUAAAGAACUCUCCGAGUAACUUAAUGAAUGUUUAUAUUUCAUUUAUUCAGCAAUUAAGCAUCUUCACAUUCCUUUAUGAGCAUUUAUAGCACUUAUUAAGAAUUAUCAAGCAUCCAAUCUGGGUCAAUGGCUGUUCUUUUCCCUUAAAAAAAACCAAAACUUUGCAAUAUCUUAUUAUUAGAACCGUCGCCUUUCUCAGUACAAAUUAAAUGACGAGUUUAAAUAGCGCUGAUUAAAAACUUCAUAAGAUUAGCUCAGCUCUCAGUACCCCACCAGAGAAGUGUCCUUUGCAGUGGAUGACGGUUAAUAGAGACACUCAUGGAUGGUCAAAGCACAGACAGUAAGUAGGCGUUAAACAGGGACAUCUAUAUCAUCUCUCUCCAAGGCUCAGGGAACAUCACAGAAGGGGCCAGAAAGAUUGUAACAGCCAGAGGUUGGGGAGGGGGGCGUUGGAAAACAGUGUCUUCUGGACCUGACUCAGGAACUCACUACAGCUGUGGUUCCCUGCAGAAGACACGCACUAGAUCAGCACCAUCAACAUUUCAGCAUAGAGAGGGGAGGGGCUCAGGAAGACCCACCCAUCCUUGAGGGACUGCUGAUAGUGGUGGCUGGUGGAAGAGGUGUGACUUCUGUCAGUGAUGUAACCACUGACAAGUUGCUUGGGCAACCACCAACCCAUGCAACCAUGAUACUAAUGUGUGCACACACACAUGCAGGCGUACACACACACACACACACACACACACACACACACACACUCACGAGAAUAGGAGAGCACUUGUUAAGAAGACGGUUCUCACUGGGAGAAAGAGGAGGGGAGAUUAGAGAAGAUAGUACGCUAAAAUGUAUUAUAUUCAUGCAUGAAAAUGUCAACAAGAAAAUAUGAAAUUUUAUGUUUUCCUGAGUUUCCGAGCCAAGAGGUGCCUCAUUUCAUACUGACAGUGAUUGGUUGAGAUGGUCACAUGACACAUGACCGGAUCUUUCAGCGUCAGUAUCACUUCCUAGGGAAUGAGACCACUCGAGCUUUCCGAGUUCUUUGAGGGCACUGCUGAAGCUCAUGCCUGUCACAUCGCUCUUCAGUGCGUUCCGGAAAUGAGGGGCACAGAGGCCAGCUAUGUCACUUAGUCAGUUUCGAAUUGACGAUCAUACAAAUUCAUCCUAUUGCCAGAAAAUCAAAGGAAAACACUUUACUGGAAACUCCUCCUCAUGGAGGAGAGCCCCCUUACUAGCUUGGCUAACCCACGUAGCCUAACUACUAUGUAAGACCAUAUAUAUGUUUAUACAUAUAUUUAUAAUACAAUAUAAUAUAUGCAUAUCAUAUAUAAUUUGCAUUUUUAUUGAAAUAAUUUUAAAGAAAUAAUACAAAGAGCUCCCGUAUAUGUUUCAGUAAAUUCAGUAACUGCUCCUUGUGAGACUAGAGAAUAGUAUUACAACCAAAAUAUUAAUAUUAAUAUAAUCCAGAGAUAUUAAAAUACUUCAUAUUAUAAAUUUUAAGUAUUUACCAUAUAUUUAUACAUAUAUUCACAAUACAUAUUUCAUAAAUAUAAUAUUUAUUUAUAUAUUUUAAUAAACACAUUGUUCAUUUAUAUUAUAUUAUAUUACACAUGACAUUGUAUUACAUGUUAUAUAUAAUAUUUAUUAUAUUGUGUUAAUAUUUAUUAUAAUUUUUAUACUAUAUCAUGUUAUACAUAUUUGUGUGUUUGUUUGUGGCUAUGUGAACAUGAGCGCAGGUGCCCUAGGAGGCCAGAAGAGAAUGUUGCUUCCCCUGGGGCUGCAGUCAUGGUAGCUGUGAGAUGGCUGCUGGGAAAUGAGCUCAAAUCCUCUGUGAGAGCACCAAGCACCCUUGACCGUGAAGUCACCCCUCCAACCCCACAUAUCUUAUCUGCGUUUUCUCUUUGACUUGUAUCCACUGCAGUCUGACCUUGGCACCGAGACAACAGCACAUGCCAAGACAGGGAGAAGUGUUGGAGGGUGUGUUCCUUUCAUCGCCCUGCCGAGUAUCCUUGAUAAAUUGGAGCCUGUGCUGGGUACAUCAUCCUGAAAGCUGGGAUGACGCAGCUGCAAGGCAGACAGUCCCUUCUGAGUGACUGCGGUGAUGGUGUUACGGCAUGGAUUCUAUUGUCUAUUGCAACUGCUGUGUAGCAACUCAAUACAAAUGACGCUUGCACCACAAAGAACAUCCUCUGGGAGCCAUCUUCUGCUCCUAACUGGCUCUCUGGAACCUCCUUUAGAAAAGGAGUCAAGAGCGACUCUUGCCUCGGUGAGAAGGUAUACGGGUACCCACCACCAACACACAUAGGUACACUCUUGGGAAGGCAUGUCUUUAAAUAGUGUCUACAAUGAGUUCUGGGGUGACUGGACCAAGACCACAACCCUUCCACGACUGUGUCUGAGUUCACAUCUUUCCAGACCUUGAGGUUAAGAGUCAGUGCAAAAGGGGGCUGUGUUUUGGUUGUGAAAUGUCUCCCACAGGCUGGUGAUGAAUCUGAAGGGCUGGUCUGAGUUGAUGGUGAUAUUUUGGAAGACUGUGGGACCACGAGGAGGUGAGAUCUAGGUUCAGCCAUAGGCUACUGAGGUGGACCUUUGAGGAAUGCAUUCUACUUCUGGGUCUGGCUUAGCUUCCUUUGCUUUUCGAUCAGUCCCAUGUAGAAGGUCAGAUCUAGAAGCUUCUACCAUACCCCAGGGCCCCAAUGAACUUGGCCCCUUGGGAAAGCUCUAGAGCUAGGAACCAACACCUUUCUCAGAGCUAUCCUACCUGACAGGUACGACCAUUUCCUGCUUGUUCACCAGGAUGCUCUGGUUGUCGUUGAGCGUGAUCCUGAGGUGUACUUAAGCUGCCACCUCCAGCAUCCCACAGAAAAUGCAUGUACACGAAUGUGCCUGCUCUUGAAAGUUGGGCAUGCAUGCCCAGGUGUGGCGAGGAGAGGUGGCGAGGAGAGGCGGGACAGUGGGCACCUGUAACCUCUGCUACACACAAGGAGUCCCACAGUUCUGUGCCCUCUGAGGAUCUUCUCUCCUGUGUCUCCUGAGGCUCCUGGUUUCUUUGGGCACAGAUCCCUGGGUUGUCACGAAGAAAGCAGCAGCUGAGGUGAAAUCCAGUAGCCCAAGUAGGUGGUUUCCCAAACAGAAGGGAGACCAGAGAAAGCCUGGUAGAAGUCGGGGCCCAAAGAGGCAGGACAGAGUCUGGUUUGCAGAGUGGCGAGGUGCCAUGUUUGUGACAGGAAGAAAGAGGAAGCAUUCUUUCAAUGGUAGUACAAGCCACACUGAAUCUGAAGGGGAGGCCUUGUCCUCGUGUCCCGUGUCCGGGGGGAUGGAGGGAGAUGGGAACAGAGGAAGGGGAAACACAAUCCAGAUCCCCGCACCCCACCCUCUUUCCCUGGUAUAUCCUUUAGUUCUCUUCAGGUUACUGGACCAAUUAUCUCAGGCUACUGAACACAAACCCAAAACAGUAAAAGGUGAAAGUCCCAGGUCAGAGAGUUAGCAUAACUUCCGGGUUUACAGAUAGAUAUUGUCUGCUUGCUGGGUUUCAUGUGAUGGGAACAAGCUUUCCUUUUUUCUUUUUUUUUUUUUUAAUCUUUAUUAACUUGAGUAUUUCUUAUUUACAUUUCGAUUGUUAUUCCCCUUCCCGGUUUCCGGGCCAACAUCCCCCUAACUCCUCUCCUUCCCCUUCUAUGUGGGCUUCCCCUCCCCAACCCCCCCCCAUUACCGCCCUCCACGCAACAAUCACGUUCUCUGGGGGUUCAGUCUUGUCAGGACCAAGGGCUUCCCCUUCCACUGGUGCUCUUACUAGGCUAUUCAUUGCUACCUAUGAGGUUGGAGCCCAGGGUCAGUCCAUGUAUAGUCUUUGGGUAGUGGCUUAGUCCCUGGUAGCUCUGGUUGGUUGGCAUUGUUGUUCAUAUGGGGUCUCAAGCCCCUUCAAGCUCUUUCAGUCCUUUCUCUGAUUCCUUCAAUGGGGGUCCCGUUCUCAGUUCAGUGGUUUGCUGCUGGCAUUCGCCUAUGUAUUUGCUGUAUUCUGCCUGUGUCUCUCAGGAGAGAUCUACAUCCGGCUCCUGUCGGCCUGCACUUCUUUGCUUCAUCCAUCUUAUCUAGUUUGGUGGCUGUGUAUGUAUGGGCCACAUGUGGGGCAGGCUUUGAAUGGGUGUUCCUUCUGCCUCUGUUCUAAACUUUGCCUCCUUAUUCCCUGCCAAGGGUAUUCUGGGAACAAGCUUUCCUUAUGAGGAAACCAUUAAUGCUGAUGACCGAGUCACCCCAGAACCCCGCCUUUAAUACCAUCGAGUCGCAUGAGGAUUUCAGCAUCUGAUUUCGGAGGCAACGCGAGUAUUCAGACCACAGCGUCUUCCUCAAGCGAAAGCCUGAUUGCUUCUAGAUGCUCUUACAGAGCAACACCUGCCAACACUUCCUGACAGGGUCGGAGAGGCUCCUUCCACCUGCACAAAUAUUUUCUCUCAUAGGCCAUAUGUUUGGAGGUGGUGGUUUCCAAACAGGCUACUCGAUCAGCUGAGAGAUGUCACAACUCGUCUUAUGAGACUGGUUCGCUUGCAGUAAUGAGCGUGUGUGUAUGUAUGCAUGUAAGUAUGGUGUUUGUAUACACAUGUAUGCAAGUGUAUGCAACCUGUGAACAUGUUCACAGGGGCCGUAGGAGGACAUCAAGUGCUCUGCUCCAUAACCCUCCACCUUAUUCCUUUUUGACAACAUCUUAUACCGAACUGGGAAUUAUGCUAGCAGCUAGGUAUCCUCCUGCCUCAAUCUCCACCUGCCUCCUAUUCAGAUGUAUGUGGCCCACCUGGUCUUUUUCUGUGGCUGCUGAAGAGCUGAGCUCAGGUCUCCAAGCUUGCAUAGGAAGCGCUCUUAACCACCGAGGCAUCUGUCUCGCCCCAUGACUUCCCAUUUCAAACUUCUAAACAUAGAAGAGAUAAAUCAAGAUGAGAAGCACAGACUUUGUAGUCAGAGCUGAGGAGACCUGGAUCCUGGCUGAGAUGAGACAGUGCCUGGACUCCUGACAGACACUCCAUCCACCCAAACUUACACGUGUAGAGCCAGGUAUGGUGGCACAAGUCUGCAAUCCCAGCCCUCGGGAAGAAGAGGCAGGAGGAUUGUCGUGUGUUCGAGGAUAAACAAAAGAUUGUAUUUGUAAAACGUUCACAGGAACGUUUACAGGGGCAGGUUUCUUAGCAGCUCCAAACUGGAAAUACCCAGAAUGGUGAGUGACGAAUAUGGGAGUGUUUUGUGUUCACUUAAUUGGAUACAUUACAGCCACAAAAAGCAGUGAACGGCCGGUGUGUGCUACCACAAGGACGGAUCAUAAAAAACAUCCUCCUCAUGCCUUCAGUAGCCAGUUCAAGAGGCCAGACAUGGAAAAACAACCUGCUGAGUGAUUUCACUUGUAGAAUUUGCCAGAAUAGACAAAUCUCCCAAGAAAGAAAGCACCUGGGUGGUGUCUAGGAGCUGGGGGGCUGGAAGGGGAGCUGAGGGGAGGGGUGACGACUGGUGAGUACAGUAUUCCUUUCCGGGGUGAUGAAAUGCAAUUGUGGUUGCGUAACUUUGUGAUUGGGAGUCACUGAAUUUGAACGAGCAGAAUGAAUAGAUUGCUCAAUAGGCGAAUUAUAUACAUCAAUAAAGCUUCCAUUUAAAAAAAAAA